UACAGAGGUCCCAAGCGUUGUUCGGAUUCACUGGGCGUAAAGGGUGCGUAGGCGGGUCUUUAAGUCAGUGGUGAAAGCCCGGAGCUCAACUUCGGAACUGCCAUUGAUACUGAUAGACUUGAGUACAGAUGAAGUGGGCGGAAUGUGACAAGUAGCGGUGAAAUGCUUAGAUAUGUCACAGAACACCGAUUGCGAAGGCAGCUCACUAAAGUGUAACUGACGCUGAGGCACGAAAGCGUGGGGAUCAAACAGG
rnacentral:rRNA from 1 species